UACGGAGGAUCCAAGCGUUAUCCGGAUUUAUUGGGUUUAAAGGGUGCGCAGGCGGAAGAUUAAGUCGGCGGUGAAAUUUUGCAGCUUAACUGUAACAGUGCCGUUGAUACUGGGGAGCUAGGAUUUGGUUGCUGUGGGUGGAAUGUGUGGUGUAGCGGUGAAAUGCUUAGAGAUCACACAGAAUAUCGAUUGCGAAGGCAGCUCACAAAGCCAAGAUUGACGCUGAGGCACGAAAGUGUGGGGAUCAAACAGGAUUA
rnacentral:rRNA from 1 species